rnacentral:rRNA from 1 species
UAAGGAAUAUUGGUCAAUGGACGCAAGUCUGAACCAGCCAUGCCGCGUGAAGGAUGAAGGUCCUCUGGAUUGUAAACUUCUUUUAUAUGGGAAGAAAUCCACUUUUUCUUGAGUGGUUGACGGUACCAUAGGAAUAAGCACCGGCUAACUCCGUGCCAGCAGCCGCGGUAAUACGGAGGGUGCAAGCGUUAUCCGGAUUCACUGGGUUUAAAGGGUGCGUAGGAGGGCAGGUAAGUCCGUGGUGAAAUCUCUGAGCUUAACUCAGAAACUGCCGUGGAUACUCUCUGUCUUGAAUGUCGUGGAGGUGAGCGGAAUAUGUCAUGUAGCGGUGAAAUGCUUAGAUAUGACAUAGAACACCAAUUGCGAAGGCAGCUCGCUACACGAAUAUUGACUCUGAGGCACGAAAGCGUGGGGAUCAAAC